GAAAUAGUCAGAUGCAGCAAGAUCUGGUUCCUGUCUUGGCCACACCUCUUUGCCUGAGAGUCAUCUACUUGCAUGGACAAACAACACAGAAAACAAGCAUUUGCAUGUCAUGAGCAGAAACAAAUGUCAGAAGAAAAAUUAUUCUAGAAAGACCAGAGGUCAGAAAGUUAUUAAGUCUCUCCGCCACGUGGCCUGGCCUCUCCAUAUGGUCCCUCCCAUGGCCUCUCUGGCACCAGCCUUGUUCCGGUGCAAAGAUAGUGGGAACCACGUUCGGGACUGAACCAUGCCUUAGAUUCAGUUUGGAACCUGGUUUAACAGGUUGUGCAAGAUAAAACAGUCAUGGCUGGAGACAUACAACUGUGCAGUUCUUCAGAAAGUUGCACCACUCUGAAUAAAACUGACAGAAAGAAAUUGGGGAUAAAACAAUUCAAAAGUAGGAGACAGCAAAACUGAGAUAUGUAUCCAUUCCUAUGAAGUGGCUCCCAAGAAAUGCUGUUAACUGAGCAAUUGUUUUAGUGCUUAUUAUGUUCUUAGUUUUACUUUGGUUGUAAGUGCUUCAUUGUUUUUAUUGCCUGCUACUGGUUUUAUUAUGUACUCUUUUUAAUCAUUGUUUGAAAUUUUAUGGUUUCAGUUGUACCAUCCAGAGAACUGCAGUUAUUUGGGUAGCCUGAAAGUGUACUAAAAUAAAUAAG